GACGAACGCUGGCGGCGUGCUUAACACAUGCAAGUCGAACGGAAAGGCCCUGCUUGCAGGGUGCUCGAUUGGCGAACGGGUGUGUAACACGUGGGUGAUCCGCCCCUUACUUUGGGAUAAGCCUUGGAAACUGGGUCUAUUACUGGAGAGGACCAUGCAGUAGGCGGUGUGGUGGAUUGAUUAGUUUCGGUAAGGGAUGAGCUCGCGGCGUAUCAGCUUGUUGGUGGGGUAUUGGCCUAGCAAGGCGUCGACGGGUAGCCGGCCUGAGAGGGUGGACGGCCACAUUGGGACUGAGAGACGGCCCAGACUCCUGCGGGAGGCAGCAGUGGGGAAUAUUGCACAGUGGGCGCAAGCGUGAUGCAGCGACGCCGCGUGGGGGAUGACGGCCUUCGGGUUGUAAGCUCCUUUCAGCCAUGACGAAGCCCUUGUGGUGACGGUAGUGGUAGAAGAAGCACCGGCUAACUACGUG
rnacentral:rRNA from 1 species